rnacentral:tRNA from 1 species
GGGACGUUAGUUCAGUUGGUUCAGAACGCUUGCUUGACAGGCAAGAGGUCACUGGUUCGACUCCAGUACGCCCCACAA